rnacentral:lncRNA from 1 species
GCCAUCCUCAGAGGAGGACUGGUGCUAGCUGGUUUUACAGAUGAGCUGAGGCCACUCAGCUGAAGCCGGACAACUGUGGAGCGGCUGGGCCAGUGUGCAAUACCAGGUCUGAGAGCUGAGCCCGAGGACCUGAGCCCUGCACCCCUGGGCUGGAGAGAGCCCACAAGCAUCACCCCUUCCAGGCAUCACUACUUCAUCUGGGGACGGGAAGACUCAGAGGACUGGGCCAGGGCCUCGGGCUGUCAGCUGGGAUGCAGCCCUGGGGUUCUAGCUGCCAGCUCCAGGGAUCAGGGCCCUAUGCUAAUGCUCUGCUGUUGCCAACUUUAAAUUCUUAGGGUUUUUUGUUUGUUUGUUUUGUUUUUUGUUUUUUUUUUGCAAGAGGACUUGCAUUUUCAUUUUGCACUGGAUCCCAGAAAUUAUGUAGCCAGUAGUCCCGGGGGCUCUGGGUGACCCGGCAUACUCUCCCUCCCGCCCUUGGCUUUCACAGAGGGGGCUGAGACCUGGCACUUGGUUCACAGCACCGCUUUUGUGCCCGGCUUCCUCCUGCCCAGUGCCAGGUGGACCCAGAAGUUUCUGCAGGAAUGGGAGGGGGGAGGAGAGCCCUGAGCUGGCGAAGCAAGGAGCAGGCUGGCAGCGGAGCCACAGCACGGAGCGAGGAGCUCUCAACAGGUGUCAGGCAGAGGUCUGGUGGCUGGUUCGGGGUCUACUGAAGGCUGUCUUGAUCAGGAAACUGAAGACUCUCUGCUUUUGCCACAGCAGUUCCUGCAGCUUCCUUGAGGUGUGAACCCACAUCCCUGCCCCCAGGGCCACCUGCAGGACGCCGACACCUACCCCUCAGCAGACGCCGGAGAGAAAUGAGUAGCAACAAAGAGCAGCGGUCAGCAGUGUUCGUGAUCCUCUUUGCCCUCAUCACCAUCCUCAUCCUCUACAGCUCCAACAGUGCCAAUGAGGUCUUCCAUUACGGCUCCCUGCGGGGCCGUAGCCGCCGACCUGUCAACCUCAAGAAGUGGAGCAUCACUGACGGCUAUGUCCCCAUUCUCGGCAACAAGACACUGCCCUCUCGGUGCCACCAGUGUGUGAUUGUCAGCAGCUCCAGCCACCUGCUGGGCACCAAGCUGGGCCCUGAGAUCGAGCGGGCUGAGUGUACAAUCCGCAUGAAUGAUGCACCCACCACUGGCUACUCAGCUGAUGUGGGCAACAAGACCACCUACCGCGUCGUGGCCCAUUCCAGUGUGUUCCGCGUGCUGAGGAGGCCCCAGGAGUUUGUCAACCGGACCCCUGAAACCGUGUUCAUCUUCUGGGGGCCCCCGAGCAAGAUGCAGAAGCCCCAGGGCAGCCUCGUGCGUGUGAUCCAGCGAGCGGGCCUGGUGUUCCCCAACAUGGAAGCAUAUGCCGUCUCUCCCGGCCGCAUGCGGCAAUUUGACGACCUCUUCCGGGGUGAGACGGGCAAGGACAGGGAGAAGUCUCAUUCGUGGUUGAGCACAGGCUGGUUUACCAUGGUGAUCGCGGUGGAGUUGUGUGACCACGUGCAUGUCUAUGGCAUGGUCCCCCCCAACUACUGCAGCCAGCGGCCCCGCCUCCAGCGCAUGCCCUACCACUACUACGAGCCCAAGGGGCCGGACGAAUGUGUCACCUACAUCCAGAAUGAGCACAGUCGCAAGGGCAACCACCACCGCUUCAUCACCGAGAAAAGGGUCUUCUCAUCGUGGGCCCAGCUGUAUGGCAUCACCUUCUCCCACCCCUCCUGGACCUAGGCCACCCAGCCUGUGGGACCUCAGGAGGGUCAGAGGAGAAGCAGCCUCCGCCCAGCCGCUAGGCCAGGGACCAUCUUCUGGCCAAUCAAGGCUUGCUGGAGUGUCUCCCAGCCAAUCAGGGCCUUGAGGAGGAUGUAUCCUCCAGCCAAUCAGGGCCUGGGGAAUCUGUUGGCGAAUCAGGGAUUUGGGAGUCUAUGCGGUUAAUCAGGGGUGUCUUUCUUGUGCAGUCAGGGUCUGCGCACAGUCAAUCAGGGUAGAGGGGGUAUUUCUGAGUCAAUCUGAGGCUAAGGACAUGUCCUUUCCCAUGAGGCCUUGGUUCAGAGCCCCAGGAAUGGACCCCCCAAUCACUCCCCACUCUCCUGGGAUAAUGGGGUCCUGUCCCAAGGAGCUGGGAACUUGGUGUUGCCCCCUCAAUUUCCAGCACCAGAAAGAGAGAUUGUGUGGGGGUAGAAGCUGUCUGGAGGCCCGGCCAGAGAAUUUGUGGGGUUGUGGAGGUUGUGGGGGCGGUGGGGAGGUCCCAGAGGUGGGAGGCCGGCAUCCAGGUCUUGGCUCUGCCCUGAGACCUUGGACAAACCCUUCCCCCUCUCUGGGCACCCUUCUGCCCACACCAGUUUCCAGUGCGGAGUCUGAGACCCUUUCCACCUCCCCUACAAGUGCCCUCGGGUCUGUCCUCCCCGUCUGGACCCUCCCAGCCACUAUCCCUUGCUGGAAGGCUCAGCUCUUUGGGGGGUCUGGGGUGACCUCCCCACCUCCUGGAAAACUUUAGGGUAUUUUUGCGCAAACUCCUUCAGGGUUGGGGGACUCUGAAGGAAACGGGACAAAACCUUAAGCUGUUUUCUUAGCCCCUCAGCCAGCUGCCAUUAGCUUGGCUCUUAAAGGGCCAGGCCUCCUUUUCUGCCCUCUAGCAGGGAGGUUUUCCAACUGUUGGAGGCGCCUUUGGGGCUGCCCCUUUGUCUGGAGUCACUGGGGGCUUCCGAGGGUCUCCCUCGACCCUCUGUCGUCCUGGGAUGGCUGUCGGGAGCUGUAUCACCUGGGUUCUGUCCCCUGGCUCUGUAUCAGGCACUUUAUUAAAGCUGGGCCUCAGUGGGGUGUGUUUGUCUCCUGCUCUUCUGGAGCCUGGAAGGAAAGGGCUUCAGGAGGAGGCUGUGAGGCUGGAGGGACCAGAUGGAGGAGGCCAGCAGCUAGCCAUUGCACACUGGGGUGAUGGGUGGGGGCGGUGACUGCCCCAGACUUGGUUUUGUAAUGAUUUGUACAGGAAUAAACACACCUACGCUCCGGCUUCGUGUCCUGUGUCACCUGGGUCGAGCACAGCCUUCUGGUCCAGCGCUGCAUGCGGCCUCAGGACCACGUCUUCCGGUUGGGGGCUCCCAGUAAAGCGAUCCUCAGCUUCUUCAGCAGCCAGUGGCCAGUGAGAGCACUGACACGGCUCCCGGGACCUCGGCAGGAUGGAAGAGAAGCUGAAGAAAACCAAGAUCAUCUUUGUGGUGGGUGGGCCUGGCUCAGGGAAGGGCACCCAGUGUGAGAAGAUCGUGCAGAAGUAUGGCUACACCCACCUCUCCACCGGGGACCUCCUGCGGUCCGAGGUCAGCUCAGGCUCGGCCAGGGGCAAGAAGCUGUCGGAAAUCAUGGAGAAGGGGCAGCUGGUUCCACUGGAGACAGUGUUGGACAUGCUCCGGGAUGCCAUGGUGGCCAAAGUCAAUACUUCCAAAGGCUUCCUGAUUGAUGGCUACCCGCGGGAGGUGCAGCAAGGAGAAGAGUUUGAGCGACGGAUUGGACAGCCCACACUGCUGCUGUAUGUGGACGCAGGCCCUGAGACCAUGACCCAGCGGCUCUUGAAACGUGGAGAGACCAGCGGGCGUGUGGACGACAAUGAGGAGACCAUCAAAAAGCGGCUGGAGACCUAUUACAAGGCCACAGAACCUGUCAUCGCCUUCUAUGAGAAACGUGGCAUUGUGCGCAAGGUCAACGCUGAGGGCUCCGUGGACAGUGUCUUCUCCCAGGUCUGCACCCACCUGGACGCCCUAAAGUAGCAACGCUGGAGCCGCUUCCCCAGCUCAGAGCCCCGCCCCACCCCGUCCUGAUUCGAGGUCCUCCUGGCCUGAGCGCAGCGCCUCCACCCUGCCCUGCUGAGCACAGACGGAGGAAGCCGCUUAUCCUGUUUUCAUGGACAGCUGAGCACUAAAGGAAUUUCUAAGGACAUUUGGUUUUACUGCUUUUUCUCUGCUUCCAGUUGGAGUUGAUUCAUGUGCUUGUGCCUACCUGGCCGCAAGUCCCCAGCCCCUCAACCCUCCGUUCCUCCUCAGCCUCCCUUUGCCAGCCACCCCUCCUCUAGCUCUGGUGGGAGGCCCGGGGCCCUUCCUCGCACAGGGCAUGCCUGGCCUGAGGACCCGGCGCUGAGUGGCGGGGCCCCUGCUCCGAGGGGCUCAUGUUCAGGCAGAACCGGUCCCAGCCUGGGCUCCUCUGCAUCUUGCUCUGUGGCCUUGGCCCUGACCCCCAUCGCUCUGAGCAUAUGUUCCAUGCCUGGCCCUUGCCGGGGCCUGGACUGCACAGGCAGCAAGGUCAUGGUCUGAGUGGGGCUUCCUGGGCAGUUGGGGCGGCCCACGCCAGCUGGCCCAGUGGGUAGUGAAUUGGCUUCCUUGACGCGAGAGGCUCUGAGGGUCUGAAAAGGGCAUCUCAAUGGCAUGGGUGGGUGGGGAGUCAGUCAUGUCACUGAAAUUGAAUGGGGGAGGCCCAAUGAGGUGGCUCAUGCCUGUAAUCCCAGCACUUUGGGAAGCUGAGGCAGGAGGAUCCCCUGAGGUCAGGAGUUCGAGAGCAGCCUGGCCAACAUGGCAAAACCCCUUAUUUACUAAAAAUACAAAAAUUAGCCGGGCAUGGUGGCAUGUGCCUGUAUUCCCAGCUACUCAUGAGGCUGAGGCAGGAGAAUGGCGUGAACCCGGGAGGUGGAGCUUGCAAUGAGCCAAGAUUGCGCCACUGCACUCCAGCCUGGGUGACAGAGCAAGACUCCGUCUCAAAAAAAAAAAAAAAAAAAAAGAAAUUGAAUUGGGGGAGUCAUGGUCAGGGGUGAGACCUGAAGGACCUCCCCCUGUGUGGCCCUGGACACAGCCCACCCUCUGUGAGCCGUUUCCAAUUCUAAAACAGACUCAAUGUCCCCCUCACCCCCACCUCAAGGUCAGGAUGAGAACACACUGAGUGAGGAGUGGACGCUGUCCAUUGCCACGGCCAUGAGGGCUGGAGACCAGAACAGCAUGGCCCGAAGCGUGCGGGGCCCCGGAUGACUUGGGGACACCCCAGAAUCCCCUGGGGAGAACCCUUCCUGCGCGCUUUCAUUUUUUGACCUCAUCACUGAGAAAGGCUCAAUUUGGUGCUCACGUGUCCUUAACACCUGAUCUGGCCCAAGCUGGGCUCCCUUUAAGCCAAGAGAGCCUCUUGUGGACCCCGCCUGCCCGAAUGAAAUCCGAACAGUUGGGGCUGUUCAUGGCAAGUGGGGCUGGUUUUUCAUUUCCAUUGGUUAUUUAAAGUUUCCUUUAAAAUAAACGAUUUUAAGUUAUAAAA